rnacentral:rRNA from 1 species
GACGAACGCUGGCGGCGUGCUUAACACAUGCAAGUCGAACGGAAAGGCCCUGCUUUUGUGGGGUGCUCGAGUGGCGAACGGGUGAGUAACACGUGAGUAACCUGCCCUUGACUUUGGGAUAACUUCAGGAAACUGGGGCUAAUACCGGAUAGGAGCUCCUGCUGCAUGGUGGGGGUUGGAAAGUUUCGGCGGUUGGGGAUGGACUCGCGGCUUAUUAGCUUGUUGGUGGGGUAAUGGCUUACCAAGGCUUUGACGGGUAGCCGGCCUGAGAGGGUGACCGGCCACAUUGGGACUGAGAUACGGCCCAGACUCCUACGGGAGGCAGCAGUGGGGAAUAUUGCACAAUGGGCGGAAGCCUGAUGCAGCAACGCCGCGUGCGGGAUGACGGCCUUCGGGUUGUAAACCGCUUUCGCCUGUGACGAAGCGUGAGUGACGGUAAUGGGUAAAGAAGCACCGGCUAACUACGUG